rnacentral:rRNA from 1 species
UUGUAUGAUUGGCGAUAGAUCAUUCAAGUUUCUGACCUAUCAGCUUUCGACGGUAGUGUAUUGGACUACCGUGGCAGUGACGGGUAACGGGGAAUUAGGGUUCGAUUCCGGAGAGGGAGCCUGAGAAACGGCUACCACAUCUAAGGAAGGCAGCAGGCGCGCAAAUUACCCAAUCCUGACUCAGGGAGGUAGUGACAAGAAAUAACAACACUGGAAAUUUUAUUUCUAGUGAUUGGAAUGAUGGGAAUCCAAACCCCUUUCAGAGUAACAAUUGGAGGGCAAGUCUGGUGCCAGCAGCCGCGGUAAUUCCAGCUCCAAUAGCGUAUAUUAAAGUUGUUGCAGUUAAAAAGCUCGUAGUUGGAUUUCUGCUGGAAGAACAAUCAAUCCGCCCUUUUUGAAAGGGUGUGAAUUUGUUGUUUUCUGGCAUAUUCUUUUCUUUUCAUACUUCUACACCAACAGUAAUGUUGACGUGUAGAUGGGAGAAGAAAACUGUUACUUUGAGAAAAUUAGAGUGUUUCAAGCAGGCUUAUUGCCUUGAAUACUGCAGCAUGGAAUAACAUUAUAGGAUUUUGGUUCUAUUUUGUUGGUUUUUAGGACUAAAAUAAUGAUUAAUAGGGACAGUUGGGGGCAUUCGUAUUUAACUGUCAGAGGUGAAAUUCUUAGAUUUGUUAAAGACGAACUACUGCGAAAGCAUUUGCCAAAGAUGUUUUCAUUAAUCAAGAACGAAAGUUAGGGGCUCGAAGACGAUCAGAUACCGUCGUAGUCUUAACCAUAAACUAUGCCGACUAGAGAUAG